UCUUACCCUUAACCUUGGGUGGCAGUUUUGGCACUCAGGGACACUAAAGCCUCAGAAACAGAUGUCUUCAUUAGGAUUAAGGACUGUUGUUUCAUAUACCAAUGCCUUCAUUCCUCUCAGGUCACCGCACAUCAUGCUCACAGUAGUUUGACCAACCACCCUCUUGCCAUGUUGCUGUCUGAAGAUCCUAAUUCUGGCCUGCUCCUUGGGUAUCAGCUUUCAUAAAAAUACCACUAAAAGCAUUAAACAUUUGGAUGAAAACCAAGUUUCUGAAGAGCUUACAAUGGCAAGCGAUAAGGUACUCAACAUGGUGAAUAUAUCAAUAAUUUUAUGCCAUAGUGCAAAAGUCUUACUGUGCAAAGAAAUUUUUUAAAAACUGCUUGGUGUUAGAUAAUGCUCCAGUUUUUAUUUUAGUGAGUUGGCUAUUCCUAUAAUAUUUCAAAUAUUACCCCUAAGGCAACUAGAAAAACCCAUGAGAACUGAAUGAGCCAGGAAUGAGGGAAAAAAAAGCAGAAGCUAAAUAAAAUUACAUAAAUACACAAAUAUAUGGCAUGUAGCCUAACAGAAUCAUACUUUGAUUUUGGGAGUACUCUGUGAAAAAGGAUGGUGCUUUUUCAUUCUACAUGAAGAUAAGCCCCAUUUACAUUUAGAGGAGUGGCCUGGUAUGGUGGAAUUGGUGUUUACUAGCUUAAGGGAGAAAUAAUAGUUACCAUUGUUUCCCAAUUCUGCAUUCAGAGACUCAUGUUGUAGCUGGAAACUAGCCAUGCUGUGAGUAUUUACACCACAGGAAUCAGCGAACAGUGGAAAUCUGAGCCUUUCACCGCCCCCCCCCCCCGCCCGCCAAGACAGUUGUUAAACUUUUAACAACACACCACUGAGUGUUUGGACAUAUAAUGAAUACACGGUAUUUAAAAAAUUCCCUCUAAUAGUUUUAAAAGAAACAGCCUUAGAGAUCAAUAUAACUCUCUCCUUUAGCUUUGUUUAUUUCACACUUUAUGUAUGUGUGGGAGAUUGGAAGCCUAUUUUAUGAUGUAGGUAAUCAGUCCUAAG
rnacentral:lncRNA from 1 species